rnacentral:rRNA from 1 species
GAUGAACGCUGGCGGCGUGCCUAAUACAUGCAGGUCGAGCGAACAGACGAGGAGCUUGCUCCUCUGACGUUAGCGGCGGACGGGUGAGUAACACGUGGAUAACCUACCUAUACGACUGGGAUAACUUCGGGAAACCGGAGCUAAUACCGGAUAAUAUAUUGAACCGCAUGGUUCAAUAGUGAAAGACGGUUUUGCUGUCACUUAUAGAUGACUCCGCCCCGCAUUCGCUAGUUGGUAAGGUAAAGGCUUACCAAGGCGAGGAUGGUUAGCCGACCUGAAAGGGUGGUUGCCUACCUUGGCACUGAGACUGGGUCCAGACUCUUACGGGGGGACGCAGUAGGGAAUCUUACGCGAGGGGGGAAAGCCGGAUGGAGCAACGCCGGGUGAGUGAUGAAGGUGUUCGGAUGGGAGAACUCUGAUAUCAGUAAAGAACAAAUGUGUAAGUAACCAUGCACGUCUUGACGGUACCGAAUCAGAAAGCCACGGCUAACUACGUG